CGUGAGUGACGAAGGCUUUCGGGUCGUAAAGCUCUGUCAAGUGGGAAGAACCUGCAGUAUGCUAAUAUCAUAUUGCGCUGACGGUACCACUGAAGGAAGCACCGGCUAACUCCGUGCCAGCAGCCGCGGUAAUACGGGGGGUGCAAGCGUUAUUCGGAAUCAUUGGGCGUAAAGGGCACGUAGGCGGCCUGGUAAGUCAGAUGUGAAAGCCCGGGGCUUAACCCCGGAAGUGCAUUUGAUACUGUCAGGCUUGAGUAUGGGAGAGGGAAGUGGAAUUCCUGGUGUAGAGGUGAAAUUCGUAGAUAUCAGGAGGAACACCGGUGGCGAAGGCGACUUCCUGGACCAAUACUGACGCUGAGGUGCGAAGGCGUGGGUAGCAAACAGGAUUAGAUACCCUGGUAGUCCACGCAGUAAACGUUGUU
rnacentral:rRNA from 1 species